rnacentral:rRNA from 1 species
UACGGGGGGGGGCGAGCGUUGUUCGGAAUCACUGGGCGUAAAGGGCGCGUAGGCGGCCCGCACAAGUCUGCGGUGAAAACCCCCGGCUUAACCGGGGGCCGGCCGUGGAAACUGUCGGGCUGGAGGCUGGGAGAGGGCAGCGGAAUUCCCGGUGUAGCGGUGAAAUGCGUAGAGAUCGGGAGGAACACCGGCGGCGAAGGCGGCUGCCUGGACCAGUCCUGACGCUGAGGCGCGAAAGCUAGGGGAGCAAACAGGAUUAAGAAACCC